AUUGAACGCUGGCGGCAGGCCUAACACAUGCAAGUCGAGCGGAGCGGCGGACGGGUGAUUAAUGCCUAGUAAUCUGCAUGGUAGUGGGGGAUAACGUACGGAAACGGGCGCUAAUACCGCAUACUAUCAGAUGAGCCUAGGUCGGAUUAGAUAGUGGGUGGGGUAAAGGCCUACCAAGGCGACGAUCCGUAACUGGUCUGAGAGGAUGAUCAGUCACACUGGAACUGAGACACGGUCCAGACGCCUACGUGAGGAAGCAGUGGGGAAUAUUUGACAAUGGGCGAAAGCCUGAUCCAGCCAUGCCGCGUGUGUGAAGAAGGUCUUCGGAUUGUAAAGCACUGUAAGUUGGGAGGCGUUACCAACAGAAUAAGCACCGGCUAACUUCGUGCCAGCAGCCGCGGUAAUAC
rnacentral:rRNA from 1 species